rnacentral:rRNA from 1 species
GAAACUGUUAGACUNGAGUGCAGAAGGGGAGAGUGGAAUUCCAUGUGUAGCGGUGAAAUGCGUAGAUAUAUGGAGGAACACCGGUGGCGAAAGCGGCUNUCUGGUCUGUCACUGACGCUGAGGCUCGAAAGCGUGGGUAGCGAACAGGAUUAGAUACCCUGGUAGUNCACGCCGUAAACGCUGAGUGCUAGGUGUUAGGUCCUUUCCGGGACUUAGUGCCGACGCUAACGCAUUAAGCACUCCGCCUGGGGAGUACGACCGCAAGGUUGAAACUCAAAGGAAUUGACGGGGGCCCGCACAAGCGGUGGAGCAUGUGGUUUAAUUCGAAGCAACGCGAAGAACCUUACCAGGUCUUGACAUCCCGAUGCCCGCUCUAGAGAUAGAGUUUUACUUUUUGUACAUCGGAGACAGGUGGUGCAUGGUUGUCGUCAGCUCGUGUCGUGAGAUGUUGGGUUANNNNNNGCAACGAGCGCAACCCUUAUUGUUAGUUGCCAUCAUUAAGUUGGGCACUCUAGCGAGACUGCCGGUAAUAAACCGGAGGAAGGUGGGGAUGACGUCAAAUCAUCAUGCCCCUUAUGACCUGGGCUACACACGUGCUACAAUGGUUGGUACAACGAGUCGCAAGCCGGUGACGGCAAGCUAAUCUCUGAAAGCCAAUCUCAGUUCGGAUUGUAGGCUGCAACUCGCCUACAUGAAGUCGGAAUCGCUAGUAAUCGCGGAUCAGCACGCCGCGGUGAAUACGUUCCCGGGCCUU